CCUACGGGUGGCAGCAGUGGGGAAUUUUGCACAAUGCUCGUAAGAGUGACGCAGCGACGCCGCGUGAAUGACGAAGUCCUUCGGGUCGUAAAGUUCUUUCGACAGGGAAGAAAAUGCCUAUAAGUAACUGUGUAGGUCUGGACGGUACCUUUCUAAGCACCCCCGGCUAACUCCGUGCAAGCAGCCGCGGUAAUACGGGGGGGGCGAGCGUUAUCCGGAUUUAUUGGGUUUACAGGGUGCGCAGGCGGAAGAUCAAGUCAGCGGUAAAAUUGAGAGGCUCAACCUCUUAGAGCCGUUGAAACUGGUUGGCUUGAGUGAGCGAGAGGUAUGCGGAAUGCGUGGUGUAGCGGUGAAAUGCAUAGAUAUUACGCAGAACUCCGGUUGCGAAGGCAGCAUACCGGCGCUCAACUGACGCUGAUGCACGAAAGUGUGGGUAUCGAACAGGAUUAGAUACCCUAGUAGUC
rnacentral:rRNA from 1 species